UACGACCACACCACAUUCAAAUACCGGUUCCUGUACGAUCGCCGAAGUUAAGCAACUUGGGACCCAGUCAUUACCUAAAUGGGUGACCGCUUGGGAAUACCAGCUGCUGUAAG